rnacentral:rRNA from 1 species
AUUGAACGCUGGCGGCAGGCUUAACACAUGCAAGUCGAGCGAGCGGCGGACGGGUGAGUAAUGUCUGGGAAACUGCCUGAUGGAGGGGGAUACAUACUGGAAACGGUAGCUAAUACCGCAUACCAUCAGAUGUGCCCAGAUGGGUUGAGCUAGUAGGUGGGGUAAUGGCUCACCUAGGCGACGAUCCCUCGCUGGUCUGAGAGGAGGACCAGCCAAACGGGAACUGAGAAACGGUCCAGACUCCUACGGGAGGCAGCAGUGGGGAAGAGUGCAAAAUGGGCGCAAGCCGGAUGCAGCAAGGCCGGGGGUGUGAAGAAGGCCUUCGGGUUGUAAAGCACUUUCAGCGAGGAGGCGUUACUCGCAGAAGAAGCACCGGCUAACUCCGUGCCAGCAGCCGCGGUAAUUC